UUUAUCUGGUAGUCCUUUGCUGGAAUCGUUGAAAUUAAAAUACUGCCAUGGGAUUCAUCGGCUUGACAUAGCAUCAAAACGCAUGAAAAAGCUGGUAAUAUAUCAUAUUUUGGAUCUCACGGGUGGACAGGAUGAUUCUGCUCUUGAAAUUUUCAGUCCUCACCUUGAGAAAUUGAAGAUUUUGGGAAGUUGGGGAAAGACGAAGUGUAAAUUGAUGAAUGUGUCAUCUUUGGUCAGUGCUGUCCUGGAUUUUCAGCUAGACAAUUACGAGAGAGUCAGCAAUGAUUUCUAUGAGAAAUAUCG
rnacentral:misc_RNA from 1 species